rnacentral:rRNA from 1 species
UACGAGGGGUGCGAGCGUUGCUCGGAAUUAUUGGGCGUAAAGGGUAGGUAGGUGGUUUCGUUUGUCUGGGGUGAAAGCCUUGAGCUUAACUCAAGAAGUGCCUUAGAAACGGCGAAACUCGAGUACUGGAGAGGGUCGUGGAAUUCCCGGUGUAGCGGUGAAAUGCGUAGAGAUCGGGAGGAACACCAGAGGCGAAGGCGGCGACCUGGACAGUUACUGACACUCAAAUACGAAAGCGUGGGGAGCAAACAGG